GCCGGCUAGCCUUCAGCCUCCAUUGAGGACACAGUGAAGACCGUGCUUUUGGAAACGUUGUUGCCGAGAAGAUUAUCCUAACAUGGCGGACAUAAAGGACUUUGGAAAAUGCCAAUCCUUGUAUUUCUGUCGCAUCCAUGAACAUUACUUCAUUCACAGGUGGAAAGAAAGUGACAUUUACACCGUGGGAUGAGGUAGUAGGUUGUAUAGUUUUAGGGUCACACCCACACUGGGAGAUAACUAUACAUCCUACUGUCUUUCUCAAAGUGAAAACGAAGCUACCGCAUUUUAGUCUACAUUACCUGAAAUUUAAUAUCAGCGACAGUGAUACAGUUUUCAUUGUGUUUCAUGACAUAUUGAAAUUUUGUGCUUAUUGUUACAAAAUAAAUGAUUUUGUGUAUAAUGGUCUUAGUUAUCUUGCUUUAUUUAGACUACAGUGCUUUCACAGUGUGAGGUAGUAGAUUGUAUAGUUGUGGGGUAGUGAUUUUAUCCCGUGUAGAAGAUAACUAUACGAUCUAUUGCCUUCCCUGAGGGGCAGAAAUGCACACCGUAUUACAUUAGACUAAAACAUUUUUAUAACAGUUUGUCAUUUUCUUAAAUAAAUAUUUUGUCUGAAAACUGUU